rnacentral:misc_RNA from 1 species
CCCAUCCGUCAUCCACUCAUUCCAAAAUACAGCAUAACCCUAGCAGCGACUCGUUCCUCCAAAUCAACCGGAUGAGCUCACUCCGGUUCGUACCUCGCACAGGGGCGGCGGCAAGGCAGCUCUGAGGGGAUCUCGGCGGCGACGACGCGGCGACAGCGACCGCCGGGCUCGAGGAUUCGCACGGAGUGAACAAGGCUGAGCGUCGCCUCAUUCCGACUUCCGAUCCCCAACGGAAAGCGGAGCCAGGACCGGGAGCUGGAGCAGUUGUCUUCCCCCCUCGUCUCCGUCAACUGGUCUUUAAUUCUCUCUUUACACAUAUCUUGGUAUUUAAUUCUCUCAUCACCAGCGUAAGAAAAAACCAUUUGAAGCUAAAUUUUUCAACAAGCCACUUGAGAACUACCAUUACAUGGCUGUUAUAUUUGGGAAUCAUCAAGCAACUGGACUAUUUGCAAAAUGCACCAGUGAUCCCCUAGGUUUCGACACAUCUGAAAGUGCAGGUACAUAUGGUGUGGGUUAUUCUGGAGACUUGGCUGGUCAUGAGAGUAACAAUGCAAGUCCAACUCGUGAUAGUGGAGAAUCAUUGAACCCAAGUGGUCCAAUUCGUGAUGGUGGAGACUCAUCUACUCGAAGUGGUGCAAGAAGGAAGAGAGGGCGCAUGAUGAUGGAAGAUGAGGAUCCAUUGAUAUGCACUGUCACUGAAGCUUUUAAGACUCUUUCAGAUGCAAUCAAGCAGUCAGCACCACAACCACGUCCGAUAAUCCCACCCAACCUAUGGACUAUGAUGAAAC